rnacentral:rRNA from 11 species
GCUAACUAUGAUCUCAUCCAGGUAGCAGCUUAAAGGCAUCAGAUCCUGACUGAUGUUGGAAGCUAAACAGGUUCAGAUCUGGUUUGUACUUGGAUUGGAGUUACCAAUGAAUGCCAGAUACUGUAGGCU